GACCGCGUAGCUCAGUUGGAAGAGCAUUGGGCUAGCAUUCCAAAGGUCGUAGGUUCGAUUCCGACCGUUGCCC
rnacentral:tRNA from 1 species